rnacentral:rRNA from 1 species
GGGAAUCUGCCCUUGGGUUCGGAAUAACAGUUAGAAAUGACUGCUAAUACCGGAUGAUGUCUUCGGACCAAAGAUUUAUCGCCCAGGGAUGAGCCCGCGUCCGAUUAGGUAGUUGGUGGGGUAAAGGCCUACCAAGCCGACGAUCGGUAGCUGGUCUGAGAGGAUGAUCAGCCACACUGGGACUGAGACACGGCCCAGACUCCUACGGGAGGCAGCAGUGGGGAAUAUUGGACAAUGGGCGAAAGCCUGAUCCAGCAAUGCCGCGUGAGUGAUGAAGGCCUUAGGGUUGUAAAGCUCUUUUACCCGGGAUGAUAAUGACAGUACCGGGAGAAUAAGCCCCGGCUAACUCCGUGCCAGCAGCCGCGGUAAUACGGAGGGGGCUAGCGUUGUUCGGAAUUACUGGGCGUAAAGCGCACGUAGGCGGCUUUGUAAGUAAGAGGUGAAAGCCUGGUGCUCAACACCAGAACUGCCUUUUAGACUGCAUCGCUUGAAUCCAGGAGAGGUGAGUGGAAUUCCGAGU